rnacentral:rRNA from 1 species
UACGUAGGGUGCGAGCGUUAAUCGGAAUUACUGGGCGUAAAGCGUGCGCAGGCGGCUUUGCAAGACAGAGGUGAAAUCCCCGGGCUCAACCUGGGAACUGCCCUUUGUGACUGCAAGGCUAGAGUACGGCAGAGGGGGAUGGAAUUCCGCGUGUAGCAGUGAAACGCCGUAGAUAUGCGGAGGAACACCGAUGGCGAAGGCAAUCCCCUGGCCUGUAC